rnacentral:rRNA from 1 species
CCUACGGGAGGCAGCAGUGGGGAAUUUUGGACAAUGGGCGAAAGCCUGAUCCAGCAAUGCCGCGUGCGGGAAGAAGGCCUUCGGGUUGUAAACCGCUUUUGUCAGGGAAGAAACGUUCUGAGCUAAUACCUCGGGGUAAUGACGGUACCUGAAGAAUAAGCACCGGCUAACUACGUGCCAGCAGCCGCGGUAAUACGUAGGGUGCGAGCGUUAAUCGGAAUUACUGGGCGUAAAGCGUGCGCAGGCGGUUUUGUAAGCCAGAUGUGAAAUCCCCGGGCUUAACCUGGGAACUGCAUUUGGGACUGCAAGGCUAGAGUGUGUCAGAGGGGGGUAGAAUUCCACGUGUAGCAGUGAAAUGCGUAGAGAUGUGGAGGAAUACCGAUGGCGAAGGCAGCCCCCUGGGAUAACACUGACGCUCAUGCACGAAAGCGUGGGGAGCAAACAGGAUUAGAUACCCUGGUAGUCCGCGCCCUAAACGAUGUCAACUAGUUGUCGGAGGAGAGAUUCUUUGGUAACGCAGCUAACGCGUGAAGUUGACCGCCUGGGGAGUACGGCCGCAAGGUUAAAACUCAAAGGAAUUGACGG